AGUGAACGCUGGCGGUAGGCCUAACACAUGCAAGUCGAACGGCAGCACAGUAAGAGCUUGCUCUUACGGGUGGCGAGUGGCGGACGGGUGAGGAAUACAUCGGAAUCUACUUUUUCGUGGGGGAUAACGUAGGGAAACUUACGCUAAUACCGCAUACGACCUACGGGUGAAAUCAGGGGAUCUUCGGACCUUGCGCGAUUGAAUGAGCCGAUGUCGGAUUAGCUAGUUGGCGGGGUAAAGGCCCACCAAGGCGACGAUCCGUAGCUGGUCUGAGAGGAUGAUCAGCCACACUGGAACUGAGACACGGUCCAGACUCCUACGGGAGGCAGCAGUGGGGAAUAUUGGACAAUGCGCGCAAGCCUGAUCCAGCCAUACCGCGUGGGUGAAGAAGGCCUUCGGGUUGUAAAGCCCUUUUGUUGGGAAAGAAAAGCAGCAGGUUAAUACCCCGCUGUUCUGACGGUACCCAAAGAAUAAGCACCGGCUAACUUCGUG
rnacentral:rRNA from 1 species